GAGCGAGAAAAGGGGGGCAACUCCCUGAGUAAAGCGGCGCACGGGUGAGUAACACGUGGGUAAUCUGCCCUGGAGUGGGGAAUAACACCGGGAAACCGGUGCUAAUACCGCAUACGAUCACGGAGUCUGAGGAUUUUGUGAUGAAAGGAGCAAUUCGCUCUAGGAGGAGCCCGCGGCUGAUUAGCUAGUUGGUGAGGUAAUGGCUCACCAAGGCUUCGAUCAGUAUCCGGUCUGAGAGGACGGUCGGACACACUGGAACUGAGACACGGUCCAGACUCCUACGGGAGGCAGCAGUGGGGAAUUUUUCGCAAUGGGGGCAACCCUGACGAAGCAACGCCGCGUGGGUGAUGAAGUCUCUUGGGACGUAAAACCCUUUCGACGGGGAAGAAACCGCAAGGUUGACGGUACCCGUAGAAGAAGCCCCGGCUAACUCCGUG
rnacentral:rRNA from 1 species